UUUGCAUCCUUGCCUCUGGAAUUGCCCUGCUGGAUUAUCAGCUGCUUGCAGCCACAGUUGUGUUGGAAGCGUGGUUAACAUCAAGGAGCUUUCUUCUAGUGGUAUUCAGCAAGUGGCCUUUCUCACAGGAACUGUGCCAGAAGAUGGCAUUGCUGUACGCAGAGCACUCAUCUCCAUUGCAACAAGUCAUUAGGAGGAGUGGAAAAACUGCAGCCUCCUAGUCCACUAGACUGAGUCAGACUGUCAGGAAAUGAGUUUGCCUUCAUGUUGCAUGUCAAGGACUGUUCCAUUAAAAUAUAUUGUGUGCUAAGGUUGUUUUUGUUUUUAAUUGUUGCUGUUUAACAAGAAGCCUUUGUUUACAAGUCUGGAUUCAUCUGUAGGCCUAGGGGGUGUAUCUCAAUACCCAGAACUCUCUUUAUUUUCAAGUGGAAAAAGGAGACACUAUUAAAAAUCCUGUGUUCACACUGUC